rnacentral:rRNA from 2 species
AAAUUGAAGAGUUUGAUCAUGGCUCAGAUUGAACGCUGGCGGCAGGCCUAACACAUGCAAGUCGAACGGUAACAGGAAGCAGCUUGCUGCUUCGCUGACGAGUGGCGGACGGGUGAGUAAUGUCUGGGAAACUGCCUGAUGGAGGGGGAUAACUACUGGAAACGGUGGCUAAUACCGCAUAACGUCGCAAGACCAAAGAGGGGGACCUUCGGGCCUCUUGCCAUCAGAUGUGCCCAGAUGGGAUUAGCUAGUUGGUGAGGUAACGGCUCACCAAGGCGACGAUCCCUAGCUGGUCUGAGAGGAUGACCAGCCACACUGGAACUGAGACACGGUCCAGACUCCUACGGGAGGCAGCAGUGGGGAAUAUUGCACAAUGGGCGCAAGCCUGAUGCAGCCAUGCCGCGUGUAUGAAGAAGGCCUUCGGGUUGUAAAGUACUUUCAGCGGGGAGGAAGGUGUUGCGGUUAAUAACCGCAGCAAUUGACGUUACCCGCAGAAGAAGCACCGGCUAACUCCGUGCCAGCAGCCGCGGUAAUACGGAGGGUGCAAGCGUUAAUCGGAAUUACUGGGCGUAAAGCGCACGCAGGCGGUCUGUCAAGUCGGAUGUGAAAUCCCCGGGCUCAACCUGGGAACUGCAUUCGAAACUGGCAGGCUUGAGUCUUGUAGAGGGGGGUAGAAUUCCAGGUGUAGCGGUGAAAUGCGUAGAGAUCUGGAGGAAUACCGGUGGCGAAGGCGGCCCCCUGGACAAAGACUGACGCUCAGGUGCGAAAGCGUGGGGAGCAAACAGGAUUAGAUACCCUGGUAGUCCACGCCGUAAACGAUGUCUACUUGGAGGUUGUGCCCUUGAGGCGUGGCUUCCGGAGCUAACGCGUUAAGUAGACCGCCUGGGGAGUACGGCCGCAAGGUUAAAACUCAAAUGAAUUGACGGGGGCCCGCACAAGCGGUGGAGCAUGUGGUUUAAUUCGAUGCAACGCGAAGAACCUUACCUGGUCUUGACAUCCACAGAACUUUCCAGAGAUGGAUUGGUGCCUUCGGGAACUGUGAGACAGGUGCUGCAUGGCUGUCGUCAGCUCGUGUUGUGAAAUGUUGGGUUAAGUCCCGCAACGAGCGCAACCCUUAUCCUUUGUUGCCAGCGAUUAGGUCGGGAACUCAAAGGAGACUGCCAGUGAUAAACUGGAGGAAGGUGGGGAUGACGUCAAGUCAUCAUGGCCCUUACGACCAGGGCUACACACGUGCUACAAUGGCGCAUACAAAGAGAAGCGACCUCGCGAGAGCAAGCGGACCUCAUAAAGUGCGUCGUAGUCCGGAUUGGAGUCUGCAACUCGACUCCAUGAAGUCGGAAUCGCUAGUAAUCGUGGAUCAGAAUGCCACGGUGAAUACGUUCCCGGGCCUUGUACACACCGCCCGUCACACCAUGGGAGUGGGUUGCAAAAGAAGUAGGUAGCUUAACCUUCGGGAGGGCGCUUACCACUUUGUGAUUCAUGACUGGGGUGAAGUCGUAACAAGGUAACCGUAGGGGAACCUGCGGUUGGAUCACCUCCUUA